UCUUCUUCUUCUUCUUCUUUUGUUGGUAUUGUUUUUUGCCUCCUAUAAUUGAGUUUUUCUUCUGUGCUCCUGCUGAAAUUGAUGCCGAGGGCCACGAGUCGCGUGUGAACUGAAAUUGAUGUUGAAAUGCAGAAGAGGAGAGGAAGAGAAAAUGUGAAUGUGAAUGGUGGUGAGAUUGUCUUAUGAAGAUUGACGGAGAGGAGAGUGAUAUGGCAGACUAGGGUUGCAGAAGGGGAGAGAAGAAGAGGAGAAUGGGAGCCAAAAACGUGUAACCGAGGAAGUGAGUUUGAG
rnacentral:misc_RNA from 1 species